rnacentral:lncRNA from 1 species
GAUUUAUAGCUCGUUGCUCUUCAGAGAUAUUCUCAUCGAGCUCAACUAAUCUCCUACUACUAUCAUUCUGGAUAAACUAUUUUUUUAGAAACAUGGUAUUACGACUCAUAAUCACAUUAUGAUCAUAUAAAAAAUAAAAGUAGUACCCCAUGAAUUUUUUGAGAUACUCUAUAAAUCGAGCUACAACUGAUUUAUCCUCUAACUUAUCAGUUUUCUAUUUUUUAACAUAGUCUGGAUAUUUUUUAGUCUUAAGGUAACUC